UCAAAAUGCUAUCCAUGCAGUCGACGGCAGCACGGACUUCGGUCUGGUGGCGAGUGGCGAACGGGUGAGUAAUGUAUCGGAACGUGCCUAGUAGCGGGGGAUAACUACGCGAAAGCGUAGCUAAUACCGCAUACGCCCUACGGGGGAAAGCAGGGGAUCGUAAGACCUUGCACUAUUAGAGCGGCCGAUAUCGGAUUAGCUAGUUGGUGGGGUAACGGCUCACCAAGGCGACGAUCCGUAGCUGGUUUGAGAGGACGACCAGCCACACUGGGACUGAGACACGGCCCAGACUCCUACGGGAGGCAGCAGUGGGGAAUUUUGGACAAUGGGGGAAACCCUGAUCCAGCCAUCCCGCGUGUGCGAUGAAGGCCUUCGGGUUGUAAAGCACUUUUGGCAGGAAAGAAACGUUCCGGGUUAAUACCCCGGGAAACUGACGGUACCUGCAGAAUAAGCACCGGCUAACUACGUGCCAGCAGCCGCGGUAAUACGUAGGGUGCAAGCGUUAAUCGGAAUUACUGGGCGUAAAGCGUGCGCAGGCGGUUCGGA
rnacentral:rRNA from 1 species